rnacentral:rRNA from 1 species
UACGUAGGGUGCAAGCGUUGUCCGGAAUUAUUGGGCGUAAAGAGCUCGUAGGCGGUUUGUCGCGUCGAAUGUGAAAACCCGGGGCUCAACUCCGGGCCUGCAUUCGAUACGGGCAGACUAGAGUUCGGUAGGGGAGACUGGGAAUUCCUGGUGUAGCGGUGAAAUGCGCAGAAUAUCAGGAGGAACACCGGUGGCGAAGGCGGGUC